CCCUCCCUCCCUCUCUCUCUCUCUCUCUCUGCUGGGCGCGAUGCUUCGGCUCCGGCGUCCGUGCGUAAAGACGCGUGCAGGAGACACGGGCAACAUCCGGCACAAAGCAAACGGACGUGAGCAGUCAGAGAAUUAAACCACUGCUUCCUCCGGGGGCUCAACGAGGACGCAAACCACUGCCUGCACGAGGUUAUCACAUUUCAAUUAAACAUCAUGGAUUCAAGUAUGAGGAACUUUAAAAAAUGAUGAGGAAUAACAACUUGAAAAUGACCAGAGCUUCAACUACUGAGUUGUAUUACUAAAAUAAAUAAAUCCAAACGAU